GCGGGGAUGUCCGACCACAGAAAUUGGUCAGAAGCAGAAUCUGGGGUUUAAUUCUAUAGGAAUGAGAGUGACAGGUGUGGUUUUCAGACAAGUGAGUAACAGGACUGUCCUUACUUUUGCUGACAGAUAAUUACAUAGGUAACGUGAAGAGCAUACUGGACAGGGGCAUCCAAUGGCCCAGAGCAAGAUCUCAACGUGGGUGAUGGAUUCCCAAGCGGGCGUCCGGGGCACAGGCAGGGGAGCUCCCUGUCCCCAGCUCCUCUGCUCUGGAGCCGACACCCCCCUUCACUGUACUGCUCCCAUUUGCUCUGAAACUCUCUCUGUGCCUUGCCUGGAACAACCAGAACAUGUUGGUCCACAGAAAAGAGACUCCAGUGCUGCUCAAGAAUGAUAGACAUGAAAUGACUACCUUCUAGUUUCGAUGAGGACAGUAUUUUUCCUUCUGUGUAUUCCCAGAACAGAGCACAGUACCUGAUAUGAAGAAGGAGGUCCGGAAACCUUGGCUGAGCCAGACUGACUCCCAGAGCCAUUUGUAGGGUGUAUUGGUUGCCUGUGGCUGCUGUAGCAGGUUGCCACACACUGGGUAAAACAACAGAAAUCUCAUCUCUCCCAGGUCUGGAGGCUGGAAGUCUGAGAUCAAGGUGUCAGCAGGGCCAGGCUCCCCCGAAGGCUCUAGGGGAGGGUCCUUCCUCGCCUCUUCCAGCUACUGCUAGUUGCCAGCAGUCCAGUGUGCCUGGGCUUACAGAUGCAUCAUUCCAGCCUCUGCCCCAGGGCUGUGUGGCCUUCCCCGGGUCUAACUUGCCCUCUUCUUGUAAGGAUGUGAGUCAUUGCAGCAGGGUGCACGCUAGCCCAGCAAGACCUCCUCUAGGCUUGAUUACAUCGGCAAACACUUUAUUCCAAAUGAGGGCACAGCAUAGGCACCUGGGCACUGGGACUUGGACUGUCUUUUUUGGGGAACAAUUCAGUCCAUAUAACAACAAAGGAUGUGGCGUGUGCCAUUCUUCUGUCUCCAGCAAAGUGCACCGUCUCUGGAGGGACUCAUUCCACGUUGGACAGGCUGUGCCCAAGGCAGCUGCAGAACUUCAGGCAACUGCAUGAUAUAGUCAGCACGUGCUUGCCCCCCACCCAGGACCUGGAUAUGCAGAGGCGAAGGGGCACGCCUGGACUCCGCACUGAGUAAAUAAAACUGACUGUGUUUUAAACUUGCCAAGAGUCUAACAAACUCUGUUGGCACUUACACGCCUAGAAAGCUUUUUAGGAAGAAAGAAAAUUAAUCAUACUUUUGCCAGCAGUUAAACGAAGACUCGUGAUUGGGAGAACAUUUUUUCCUAGAAUUAUGCCUUAUCUACAAGGGCUUCUGGCAAACUGUGAAGCGCACUUCGGAGUGCCCGGAAUCUGAGCCCAGCCGGGAGCCCAGGGCGGGAGCAGGUUGGUGGUCUGACAGGAGGGCACAGCGCGGAGCGCCUUCCCAGGGACCAGAGGACAGACAGCCCUGUGUGGUCUCACUGCGGGCCAGGCCGUUCCGCACCCUGGGCAUCACCUGGGUGCCCCUUGUCCCGGCCCAGGGAGGAUGCCAGGCGCCACAGAGAACCGCCCCAGCAGGCCUUCGACUUUGGGGGAAUUAGCUCCAGAACUGCCACACCUUAGUCUUCGUGCCUUCUGGCCAUUUGCUUCCCUCCAUGUCGCUGCAGAGCACUUACAGGGACAGGCCCUCGGUGGGCACCUCGCUGUAGUCCAGAGGUGCAGCAUCAUAAACCGCACGUCCGCGGAACUACCAGCUUUGCCGUAACAGAGUUUUGGGAAAACCAGAUAUCCACAUGCAAAAGAAUGAAGUAUCACUUCCUCACAGCCUACCCAGAAGCUUCCCUGGAAUGGAUCAGAGGCCUAAAAUUUAUAAGCCUUCAGUGGAAUACAUUUAGCCCAUGAAAUGAAAUAUAUUAUCAGUUGGGUGAUAAGAAAAAGCAGCAAGCCAAAAAUGACAAGUUCAUUUAAUUUGAGGAACUACAAAAAGACCAUCAGAGGGGGGUUCUCCCUUCAUGGGCGAGGAAUGUGGGCUCUACUGAAUUCAUUGAACACUGUCCUUGGAGAAGGAAGGAGACUUUGAGCAAUAGAUGCCUGUUCUAGCAACCACUACCGGUGUUGCUUUCAGCCAGGUAACACUCAUUUACCUUCCUUCCAACUGAUCUGGUGGUUUGCUGGCUCUUUUAAAUCACAUUACAUAAAUCCUUAGAAAUCUUUUGUGAAGGUAAAUUUCGUUUUUUUGAGCACUGAUCCUUUGCUCUCCUGAUUCCAGGCACAGAGGCGGCUCCCGGCCUUCCUGAAUCAGGGUGAGCACUGACAAUCAUCUUUAAGGUAAACUCUGUGCAAGAGCUUUGUCAUCCUGACGAGGCCUGCUGGGCUGUCUUCCUGAUAAAGUCUCCUUUGCAGAUGCACCUCCUUUAGCGCAAACUCACUGUUAAUGAGUGAUACGUGUUUGUAACUCGAUCAUUUAGACAUGCCGUUAUCCCUUGUUUUACAAGAUUUCCUACAGCAAGCUCAGAUGACUAAACUCAAAACAUGUCAACUCAAGCUCAGUGUCUCUUCCUGGGAGUUUCUAAAGAACUUAGGUCUCGGAGACAGCACGCUGACCAAACUCUUUCCUAAUCAAACAGCUAAUUGGUUAGUGACUGGGAUUCAGCUCCAUCGUGUUGUCUCCAUCCUCCACCCCCCACCAUUUCCCUUGGACUUCUGGGUCACUCGAGGAUUCACUUUAUUGUUGUUCUUGCUAGGCGAGCAUUGCUCCAGGACUACUAGUGCAUAAAACCCAUGCUUAGUGCAUCCCCGUCCCAAGCAGAGGACUGAGAUUUCUGCAAAGAUGUCCAUGCUCUCAUCAGCAGGACAGCCCUUCCCCGGCCUGUAGUGAUAUGUCUGAUGUUGCUCUAGACUACACUCUGUAUGGGGCCCCAACGGGUAACAGCCUCUGAGGAAGCCUUUACUCAGGCAGCUGGGCAGGCAGGCCCUCCAUCCACAACCUGCCGGGCCCGCUAUGUGCAAGCUACUUAUCUUCUGUAUGUAUGGCAAGCUGCUCCACUCCUCCAGGCAAGGGAGAAAUGUCUGUGCACUCAAGUCUUUGGGAGGGAGCCCUUGUCUUUUACCUAGCUCUUCGAGUUCUCCAGUCAUUACUGAUUUUGAGUGACUGCUGAGCCCCUUUCUGGGACAUUGUAUGAGAUGAAAAACCCCAUGAGCUGGGUCAGUAACAGGUGGCAGCUAUUGCUUUCAUGUGGACCUCUUUCCAAGAUGGAUAGAGCCAUACAGGAUUGUAGCUAUAACUCCAAGGAGGGCUCCUUGGUGUGGGGACGGCACAGACAAGGGCCUGUUCUGUGCAAGGUGGGACAGAGAGGGGUCCAGGAUUCCACACAAGAGCCACUCAAAGUCUGUUUGCUCCAGGGGCAGGCCCUGCUCGGACGGUUCAUCCGAGUAAUUAAAGAAAGGAGAAAAUGACACACAGUUGAACAAAUGAAAAGCUAGGAUUUUCCCUACCUCCAGCAAAAAUAGUUGGUUUGUUUUUUCAAGAAGUAAGGACUUUUAUAUACAGAAUCAUCCAAGAAUAAUGUAUUUACAAUUUUUGUGGCCUUGAUUGUGUUAAUGAAGCUAUUAUUCACAUGGGCAAUGAAAGCCAUUCCGCCACGGAGGCACACUUGGCUGAGUGUUGGGGGGCAACAGUAGGAGCAGCUAUGCAAACAGUAAGAGGAGGGUCACGGCCAGCGCACAGCUGCUCGGUAGGGCAGAUGGAACCGGGCCGGCCCGGCCCUCCAGCAUGCACAC